GAAGCCAGCUUGCUGCUGGAUUAGUGGCGAACGGGUGAGUACACGUGAGUAACCUGCCCUUGACUCUGGGAUAAGCCUGGGAAACUGGGUCUAAUACCGGAUAUGACCUUCCAUCGCAUGGUGGUUGGUGGAAAGCUUUUGUGGUUUUGGAUGGACUCGCGGCCUAUCAGCUUGUUGGUGGGGUAAUGGCCUACCAAGGCGACGACGGGUAGCCGGCCUGAGAGGGUGACCGGCCACACUGGGACUGAGACACGGCCCAGACUCCUACGGGAGGCAGCAGUGGGGAAUAUUGCACAAUGGGCGCAAGCCUGAUGCAGCGACGCCGCGUGAGGGAUGACGGCCUUCGGGUUGUAAACCUCUUUCAGUAGGGAAGAAGCCAUAGUGAC
rnacentral:rRNA from 1 species